UACGUAGGGUGCGAGCGUUGUCCGGGAAUUAUUGGGCGUAAAGAGCUUGUAGGCGGUCUGUCGCGUCUGCCGUGAAAGUCCGGGGCUCAACUCCGGAUCUGCGGUGGGUACGGGCAGACUAGAGUGAUGUAGGGGGAGACUGGAAUUCCUGGUGCAGCGGUGAAAUGCGCAGAUAUCAGGAGGAACACCGAUGGCGAAGGCAGGUCUCUGGGCAUUAACUGACGCUGAGGAGCGAAAGCAUGGGGAGCGAACAGG
rnacentral:rRNA from 1 species